rnacentral:rRNA from 2 species
UAGUGACGAAAAAUAACGAUACGGGACUCAUCCGAGGCCCCGUAAUCGGAAUGAGUACACUUUAAAACUUUUCCCGAGGAUCAAUUGGAGGGUAAGUCUGGUGCCAGCAGCCGCGGUAAUUCCAGCUCCAAUAGCGUAUAUUAAAGUUGUUGCGGUUAAAAAGCUCGUAGUCGAAUCUGUGUCCCGCGCCGCUGGUUCAUCGCUCGCGGUGUUCAACUGGCGUGUCUCGCGGGACGUCCUGCCGGUGGGCGCUCGUAUCGCUUCGGCGGUGCGUGGCCCAACUCGUAGCCGUCUCGCGCGGUUGCGAAUCCCAUCGCGGUGCUCUUUAUUGAGUGUCGAGGUGGGCCGGCACGUUUACUUUGAACAAAUUAGAGUGCUUAAAGCAGGCCAAUUUUGCCUGAAUAUUGUGUGCAUGGAAUAAUGGAAUAGGACCUCGGUUCUAUUUUGUUGGUUUUCGGAACCCCGAGGUAAUGAUUAAUAGGAACGGAUGGGGGCAUUCGUAUUGCGACGUUAGAGGUGAAAUUCUUGGAUCGUCGCAAGACGGACAGAAGCGAAAGCAUUUGCCAAAAACGCUUUCAUUGAUCAAGAACGAAAGUUAGAGGUUCGAAGGCGAUCAGAUACCGCCCUAGUUCUAACCAUAAACGAUGCCAGCUAGCGAUCCGCCGACGUUCCUCCGAUGACUCGGCGGGCAGCUUCCGGGAAACCAAAGCUUUUGGGUUCCGGGGGAAGUAUGGUUGCAAAGCUGAAACUUAAAGGAAUUGACGGAAGGGCACCACCAGGAGUGGAGCCUGCGGCUUAAUUUGACUCAACACGGGACACCUCACCAGGCCCGGACACCGGAAGGAUUGACAGAUUGAGAGCUCUUUCUUGAUUCGGUGG